rnacentral:rRNA from 1 species
AACGAACGCUGGCGGCAUGCCUAACACAUGCAAGUCGAACGAGGCCUUCGGGUCUAGUGGCGCACGGGUGCGUAACGCGUGGGAACCUGCCCUUAGGUUCGGAAUAACUCCCCGAAAGGGGUGCUAAUACCGGAUAAUGUCUUCGGACCAAAGAUUUAUCGCCUUUGGAUGGGCCCGCGUUGGAUUAGCUAGUUGGUAGGGUAAAAGCCUACCAAGGCGACGAUCCAUAGCUGGUCUGAGAGGAUGAUCAGCCACACUGGGACUGAGACACGGCCCAGACUCCUACGGGAGGCAGCAGUGGGGAAUAUGGGACAAUGGGCGAAAGCCUGAUCCAGCAAUGCCGCGUGAGUGAUGAAGGCCUUAGGGUUGUAAAGCUCUUUUACCCGGGAUGAUAAUGACAGUACCGGGAGAAUAAGCUCCGGCUAACUCCGU